rnacentral:rRNA from 1 species
GGGCCCGCACAAGCGGUGGAGCAUGUGGUUCAAUUCGACGCAACGCGAAGAACCUUACCCAGGCUUGAACAGCGAGUGACCAUCCAUGAAAGUGGACUUCCGCAAGGACACUCGUAGAGGUGCUGCAUGGCUGUCGUCAGCUCGUGUCGUGAGAUGUUGGGUUAAGUCCCGCAACGAGCGCAACCCUUGUCCUCUGUUGCCAUCAGGUUAUGCUGGGCACUCUGAGGAGACUGCCGGUGAUAAACCGGAGGAAGGUGGGGAUGACGUCAAGUCAGCACGGCCUUUAUGUCUGGGGCCACACACGUGCUACAAUGGCCGGUACAAAGCGUCGCGAGCCCGCGAGGGGGAGCUAAUCGCAGAAAACCGGUCUCAGUUCGGAUUGCAGGCUGCAACUCGCCUGCAUGAAGUCGGAAUCGCUAGUAAUCGCGGAUCAGCACGCCGCGGUGAAUACGUUCCCGGGCCUU